GUAAACAGAUGGGCUCAGUUUGCCUGUAGAACCUCAGGAUUACAGACACACACCCGGCAGCCUCGGACUAGUUCAUGGAGGAGCCUCGAGAGAUACUGUCCAGGCAGGCUCUCCCUUCCGUCGGGCAGAGCGGAGCGUGAGAGGAGGCGGCUGCAGCGGGAGUGGACAUGAACGCUGGUUUUCAAAGAGAACAGCGUUUUAGUUUUGGUCAUCGCAAGUGGUGCCUUCAGCACAGAAGAGCGUGAAUUCCCCUCUGCGGCUAUCGAUCUCCAACACGGGACUCGAGGGAAG